GAGGGGAGAGCUCAGUUGGUAGAGCAUGAGACUCUUAAUCUGAAGGUUGUGGGUUCAAGCCCCAUGAAAGAUUCCCAAAUUUCA